GUCAGGUGGUACGAAGAUAGCUUUUUAUCAGCUAGUUAAAAAAAGAAUUAAUAGAUUUUUAAUCAGAGGAAAAUCUGAAAUCCGUCGAUGUUUGAAGCGCAUCGAGCAAUUUCACAUCAAGCCGAAAGUAUUUAAACGGAAUCAGUCCUGGAAGGCCCUAAAGCCAGUCUAAAACCCGUCAAAUUACUUACUCUAUCCCACGGCGUUCCGACGCUUAAGCUCGAGAUGGAACGUCGAAGUUCCUGCCUGAUCCGGACUACUGCAGGAAUAUACAGGUGUAAUGUGGGGCACGAAAAUGAUGAAAACGUGCAUGCUAUAUGGAUAUCUUUUUUACAGGAGAAACAAAACACAUUUUCAAGUGAUUACUUUGAAUGUUGUAGCCAAAUGGGCCUUAUGAAUAAAAAUGAGCAUUUAGUUUAUACUCAAAAAUUUGGAGUAAAGGCUCCCUGUGGUAUGAAU